GAGACUCUGUGCGCGUGCAUAUCAAUAAGCGGAGGAAAAGAAACUAACAAGGAUUCCCCUAGUAACGGCGAGUGAAGCGGGAAGAGCUCAAAUUUGAAAUCUUAAAGGGUUUCCCUUUACGAAUUGUAGUUUAAAGAAGUGUUUUCUGUUGGAGUUUCGGUAAAAGUUCUUUGGAAUAGGACAUCAUAGAGGGUGAGAAUCCCGUAUUUGACCGUUACUUUCCAGCUGUGUGAUACACUUUCAAAGAGUCGGAUUGUUUGGGAAUGCAGUCCAAAAUGGGUGGUAAAUUUCAUCUAAAGCUAAAUAUUGGCGAGAGACCGAUAGCGAACAAGUACCGUGAGGAAAGAUGAAAAGAACUUUGAAAAGAGAGUUAAACAGUACGUGAAAUUGUCAAAAGGGAAGCGUUUGACACCAGUGUUGUUUUUCCGAAAAUCAAUUACGAAUGUUUUGUUUUUGAGGAGUUAUGACUUCAUCGGCUUGCUCCUUUCUUUAUGAAACUUUCUUAAUGCACUUUUCGGUUAACAAGUCAACAUCAAUUUCUUUUGUUGUAAAAGGGUAAGAGGAAGGUGGCUUGCGCUUCGGCUCAAGUGUUUAUAGCCUUUUAUCUCUGCAAUCGGAGAGAUUGAGGUCUGCAGCGUAGAUCCUUCGGGGUUAGAUACAUUGGUGCUAAGCUAUAGCCUUGUAUAGACAACUUGUUGACUAUGCUCAGUCAUGUAGCUUACUCGCUGAUGCUAUUUUACCUACGCUUAGGAUGUUGACAGCAGUAUAGACUGU
rnacentral:rRNA from 1 species